GGGUUGAAUACGGUUUAGUGGAUUUAAAUUCUCAAGUAGGAGCUUGGAGAGUGGACGUAGGUGCAAGGUUGGCACCGAACCACUAUAAAUCUUUUUGUUUGUGUUGUGCUUACUUGCUCUCCUUUUAAAUUUUUUUAUCUUUUUGCAUUCUUGCAUCCAGCUUCUACACCUUGCAUAAAUUUUACUCUCCACAUUUAUCCUACUUAUUGUUAUACAAUUCUCAUAGUUGUAAAUUAACUUUAAAUUUUUAGAAAUCUAAUUCACCCUCCCUCUUGG
rnacentral:lncRNA from 1 species